rnacentral:tRNA from 1 species
GGGGGCGUGGCGGAAUGGUAGACGCUACGGACUUAGAAAACUGAGCCUUAUUGGAGAAAUCCAUUAAGUGACCGCUCUCAAAUUCAGGGAAACCUAACUCUGGUAACAGACAAGGCAAUCCUGAGCCAAGCCGAAAUUUCGGAAGGUGCAGAGACUCGACGGGAGCUACCCUAACGUAAAGCCGAGGGUAAAGGGAGAGUCCAAUUCUCAAAACCAGAAUUCUGGCAGCAGCGAAAGUUGCGGGAGAAUGAAAAUCCGUUGGCUGGAGACAGCCGUGUGGGUUCAAGUCCCACCGCCCCCA